UUGCUCGCUUCAGCAGCACAUAUACUAUAAUUGGAACGAUACGGAGAAGAUUAGUGUGGCUCCUGCGCAAGGAUGACACGCAAAUUCAUGAAGCGUUCCGUGGCAGU